UACCUCAAUUAAGAUUGUUGCUUUAUUUAGUUUUAAUAAAAUGUUCUUGUAAUAUUAACUAAUUUUUAUUUUAGUUCUGUUAUUUUUAAUAGGUUAAGUAAGUUUAGUAGUUUAAAAUAAUUUCCAGUGUUAAUUUUCUAGUUUUCAUUUAGGCUUGCCAAUCUCUUUUUUGGUUGUUUUCAGAGUGAGUCCAGAGAAGAGCUGAGCACGAAAGAACGGUGGUCGGCGGUGUGCAGCGAGAACGACAGACGACAUGAGGACUUGUGUUUCGCCGACAACGAGAAACUGAGCUGCCUGAGCCCAGCGAGGGCGGCGUGAAACUCCUACUAUGAGUUUCAUUGCACGCCACUGGUCUUCAGUGUCGCCAAAGAAAGUAAGGUUGUCGAUACAUGAAUAGCUGUAAGCCAUUGAGGGCGAAAACUUGCAAAGUAGGAAGACGAUCUAUAGUGUUACAGACUUGCUGUGCUUUUGAAUUGGACAGUAACAAACUAUAGCACUAUAGCACGAUUUUUGCUAUGAACUGAUAAAGUAAAAAUUGCGGUUCAACCUAAUAUUGCAUAACUGCCAACCUUUCAUGCCAGUCAUCAGUAAUCACUCGGAGGCAUAUCCAGGAUUCGGUGUGGUUAGAUGAGGGGGGGGGGGGGGGGGUUGCCACGCCAUCCCCAACACCCUUGUUAAUAACAACACUACAGAACAUACAUUAAGCUACAUUUUUCAGCAUAGGCCUACAGCAUUUUGAAAUGAAGAAAUGCACUCUUUACAUAAAACGUCAAUGUUGUCUGUGUCAUACACUUUAAACUAACAUUAAACUCUUUAAGUCAGAUGUUUCGUUGCAUGUUUUCCAGCCUGCAACUGUUUUUGGGGAAAAUGUUUUUUGUGAACAACAACUCUGCAUUCGUAACAUCCGUAUCGUCACUGUUUACAAAAAAAGACGAAAUUGAUUUAUUGUCUGAUUUCACUUUCGCAUAAUCUCGGUGUUUCUUGCAAUCAAAAUGUCUUCGGCAGUCGUCUCUACUUCCGUGGGCAACCGAAAAAUCACUAUUACAGACGUUGCAGAAUAAGUGAUUCUCAGACACAGAUGAACGUGAAAAACACGGCCAUUCACUUGCAUAAAUGUCCCGGUAUUUUUGUAAUAAAGGUGUUCUUUUGCUAGUACUUUCACUCCGCACAGCAUCACGCUUCAUUGUAUUUUCAAUGCCACUCUUAAACGGUAAAAUAAGUGACGCGUAGCCCACGCAAUCCAAACAUAACGGCCAUGUUUACAGUUAACUCGAAAAGGACGCCAAGACUGCUUGAAAAAAUCGCCGCAACAGCGCUACUAUUGCAAGAUAUCGACAGCGAUAACUAUCGUACUCACAGCGUCACCGAUAUCGUUCUAUAGUAAACAAAUAUCACUUAACCGGCUUUUUGUGGUUUUUGUAAAAAAAAUCCGUAAUACUUUCUUACCGACCCGUAAUUCAGUAAUAUAUGUCACUACACCGUAAUAAUUACGGACAAUCCGUAAUGGUUGGCAGCUAUGAUAUUGUGACGGACGUAUAGUUCAUUCAUGUUGUUGGCUGCUGAUAAAUUUUAUAUGAUAUCGUGAGGAAAAGAGAAACGGUUAAUACAAUGUGAAUUUUUCCUUCUUGCCUACGAAAUUGCUGUGUUCGUGGAUGGUAAAAUCAAGUUGGAGAAUAUACAUAACUUUAAAGAAAUGAUCAAGAUUUAAGUACUAACUGAAUGUGUGCUGAAUAGUUACAUGGGCAAGCGUGUAAGUAAACGGACAUGAACUUUCGAGAUGAUUAUGAAAUGCCAAAAGAACAUUUUUAAGUGCUCUCCAAUUAGUGAUAGUAUUUCCAAUUGAUAGUUUAAUAUUUUUUUAAUAACCCAUUUUUAGAUGAUUUAGUUUUUACUUUGUUACAUAUUCCUGUUAGGUGUUAACAGUAUACUGGAGGUGGGACCACAGCCAACUGGCCCAUCAGCCCCCGGGUGGGGCACGCUCCAUUACUGCCGUGCAUCUGCGCCUCACUACCCCCUCCUCGGCGCAUCUCAAGGGUUCAGCACGUUCCCUGCGUGAAGUGGAAUAACUAGAAAGCCAUUUGUCUGAGUGUCAAGUCAACCCUGAUGACGUGACAUUCAAAGGGGUACAAGACCAUUCCAGGAGGAGGCUGAGGGGUGCCUCCGAGGCAGUCGAGGCAGUGUAGUGAAGAGGGCGAGUGAGGGCAGACGACAAGCGACAAGCUAUAAAGACUGUGUUGUGUGUGACGGACAAGUGAGCAGCGCGAGGCAGUGUGUUGGGACAGAGGUGCGCGGUAAGAGACAAGCAGUAGAGAGAGCCACUGUUGAGCCCAGUUCCAGUGGGGAGAAUAAACUGUGAUAAAUAAAUGAGAAUCAGUGUCCAUACCUUCAUUUCUGUGAUGGUUUUUGUAACUUUCAUGACCGGUGAACAGACUAUGUAUUUUAAAUUGACAUCAUAAGCUUCUUAAAACUAACUUUGUAUUAAUGCUUGUGUGGAUGCCACAGUGCUUCUAUGGCAUACAUAACUGAAAACUAAAUUAUGUCUUUAAAAAAGCUUGAUUGACAAAACAGACACGGGUGUAGAUCCAUAGACAGACACACAAACUUCUUAACUCCAUGAUAAAUAGACUAUGUUAUUUUAUCAUGAUUUGUAUGAUAAUAUAUUAUACAUUAAAGUUUAAGUUCAUUGUUAUAA